rnacentral:rRNA from 1 species
ACAAGUACCGUGAGGGAAAGUUGAAAAGUACUUUGAAAAGAGAGUGCAAGAGAACGUGAAACCGUCAUAAUGGAAGCAUAUGGAGUUGACGUAUCUGUGAUGUAUUCAGUUGAAAUAUAUGCAAAUGAUUGGGUAUUUAAUUUCUAACGAGUUGAUGCUCAAUUUAUUUGUUAUAUUUUAAUGCAUUUGCAUCUGGAGUGUGCUGAAUGGUGCGGUGAUGAUAGUUGAGGUUGAUUAAGAGGACAUUAAUUUGAAACCUUGAUUUUCUUAGACUAUUUUGUUGCUGCAUUCUGUUGUUGGUUUAAACGUUAUGUGGUUGAGUGUUGAGGCUGAUUUAAGUUGUUUGCAUGCAAACGGCAUUUAUUGGUUUUAACAUUUGAUCAUAUUUCUCAACAACAUAUUUAGUAUCAUAGUCAAUGACCCAUUUGACCCGUCUUGAAACACGGACCAAGGAGUGUAACGUAAGCGCGAGUUAUUGAGUUAACUAAACUCAAAAGCGAAAUGAAAGUGAGACCCGUAGAUCGGUCAUGGUGUGAGUUUUGUGAUUUCGAUUGCUUAACAUAACACCGGCUCAUGUCGAAGACUUGUCUUGAUGUGACGCUUGAGCGUUUGCGUUGCGACCCGAAAGAUGGUGAACUGUGAUUGAACAGGAUGAAGCCAGAGGAAACUCUGGUGGAAGUCCGAAGCGGUUCUGACGUGCAAAUCGAUCGUCUGAUUUGAUUACAGGGGCGAAAGACUAAUCGAACCAUCUAGUAGCUGGUUCCUUCCGA